AACGAACGCUGGCGGCAUGCCUAACACAUGCAAGUCGAACGAGGCCUUCGGGUCUAGUGGCGCACGGGUGCGUAACGCGUGGGAACCUGCCCUUAGGUUCGGAAUAACUCCCCGAAAGGGGUGCUAAUACCGGAUAAUGUCUUCGGACCAAAGAUUUAUCGCCUUUGGAUGGGCCCGCGUUGGAUUAGCUAGUUGGUAGGGUAAAAGCCUACCAAGGCGACGAUCCAUAGCUGGUCUGAGAGGAUGAUCAGCCACACUGGGACUGAGACACGGCCCAGACUCCUACGGGAGGCAGCAGUGGGGAAUAUUGGACAAUGGGCGAAAGCCUGGUCCAGCAAUGCCGCGUGAGUGAUGAAGGCCUUAGGGUUGUAAAGCUCUUUUACCCGGGAUGAUAAUGACAGUACCGGGAGAAUAAGCUCCGGCUAACUCCGUG
rnacentral:rRNA from 1 species